CAAAAAAUUUUGGUUAAUAAUUUUUCUGUUGACAAUAUUUUGCGAGUAGCAAAACUCGACCUGAAAUUUACACUUCAAAGCCACAUUCAUCGAUACACUCCCCAUGCAUGUUUGGUGUCAGUAGAACGCUAAGACCAGUACCAACUAGGAAAAGCAGUUUUUUUUAUGUUUUUAUUGCUUUUCGGAUGCACAGGAACCGUCACAAGUUCGCCAAAUAAUCAAACU